rnacentral:misc_RNA from 1 species
UACGGAGGGUGCAAGCGUUAAUCGGAUUUAUUGGGCGUAAAGAGCACGUAGGCGGGGUGGAAAGUUAGAUGUGAAAGACCGGGGCUCACCCUCGGAAGCGCAUCUAAAACUCCCAUCCUAGAGGAUGGACGGAGAAAGGAGAAUUCCAAGUGUAGCGGUGGAAUGCGUAGAUAUUUGGAAGAAUACCGGUGGCGAAGGCGCCUUUCUAGUUCACUCCUGACGCUGAGGUGCGAAAGCAAGGGGAGCAAACAGG